rnacentral:rRNA from 1 species
GACGAACGCUGGCGGCGUGCUUAAUACAUGCAAGUCAACUGAACUUGAAGUAGCAAUAUUUCAAGGGAGGUGGCGCACGGGUGAGUAACACGUAGGUAAUCUGCCUUUAGGUCUGACAUAAUUCCGCGAAAGCGGGACUAACUUCAGAUGAUGCAGCGGCUCGACAUCGAGACAGUUGUUAAAUCUUCGGAGCCUAAAGAUGAGCCUGCGUCUGAUUAGGUAGUUGGCGGAGUAAAAGCCCACCAAGCCUGCGAUCAGUAGCUGGUCUGAGAGGAUGAUCAGCCACACUGGAACUGAGACACGGUCCAGACUCCUACGGGAGGCAGCAGUAAGGAAUAUUGCUCAAUGGCCGAAAGGCUGAAGCAGCAACGCCGCGUGGAGGAUGAAAUACUUUUGUAUGUAAACUCCUGUAAGAAGGGAAAAUAUUUCGAUUUAUCGGAAUUGAUUGUACCUUCAGAGUAAGCACCGGCUAACU